AUGAUUAAAGGAGAAGAUUGCUUAUUUACCAAACAUAUGCAUAUCAAAUCACAUCUUAUAAUAAGAACAAAUCUUUCUCCGUAUCAAUCCCCUUGCCCCUCAUUCUUUGAGAAUCAGAAGGAUCCUUUUCGAGUUUCCAUUUCUUCAUUUGGAAUCUGGGUUCUUCUAUCUUUGACUUAUUUUUCUGGCUUUAUAUACAGAGGGUCAAAUUAG
rnacentral:rRNA from 1 species